rnacentral:rRNA from 1 species
GACGAACGCUGGCGGCGUGCUUAACACAUGCAAGUCGAGCGGUAAGGCCCUUUCGGGGGUACACGAGCGGCGAACGGGUGAGUAACACGUGGGUGACCUGCCCUCAGCUCUGGGAUAAGCCUGGGAAACCGGGUCUAAUACUGGAUAUGACUCCAUGACGCAUGUUGUGGGGUGGAAAGCCUUGUGCGGCUGAGGAUGGGCCCGCGGCCAAUCAGCUUGUUGGUGGGGUGANGGCCUACCAAGGCGACGACGGGUAGCCGGCCUGAGAGGGCGACCGGCCACACUGGGACUGAGACACGGCCCAGACUCCUACGGGAGGCAGC